CUGAAAGAUUGGUUGAUUAAAUUCUAAUGUCUAAAGAUUAAAAUAAAUUUUAAUCUCCUAUUUAUCUAUUAAGAUAGAUCUGUAAUUAAUUAUAGGAUCCCCAAAUAUUUUGGACCGGCAUUUCUCGUGAAUAAAAGAAAUUUCCAGAGAUCAGCGCGUUCAAACAAAUACACAAACUCUUCAGCUUCAUUAAUUGAAUGUAGAUAAAAAUACACAUAACUGCGGACGCGACUUGGCCUCUUUUCGCUUUUAUGUCCUCAGAAAUAAGAGAUACACUGUGGUGUGGCAUUUAUGGCACACUCCGUUUUCAGCUCAUAAUUCUGUGGCUCGAAAAAUCCUCGGAAUGUUUUCUCGUGUAUAAUGGUCAGAAAUGUUACGCAAAGAUGUGUAGUCCAUCCAUCACCCGGCACGCGGUGGCUGAAAUUUUAUUACUUCUAAAUUGGAGUUUAAAGUUUAAACUUGAAGAACUUUUUCACUAUUACAACUUACAAGGAAGUUUUUGUAAAUAUGAUCAGAUUGAGCAAAAGGAGAUUUUGGCUGAGGGAGAAUUUUGCUAAGACUGAAUCAUAAUAAAAAUACUCAAAUCAUAGGUACAUUUUUUUUUUAAUUACAAAAAACAAAAAAAAAAAUACUUACUAAGUAUGACAGUUCUGUCCUGUGGUGUCAACUUUCAUCAGAACCAAAAAAUAGUAUAU